rnacentral:lncRNA from 1 species
GUGGUGGCAUUCGCGUCUGCGAGCUCCGGAGUGACUUUCCCUUCCUGUGAAGGCAAUCCGGCCCUUUCCGGUGGAGGACCCUUCCCCCUGGGUUGAUCUUGAGGAACUUAAGAGACGGUGUUUUGACUCGACUCCUUUCCCCUUUUUCCUCCCGGUAUCAAUAGUUUUCUACAGGUUCGGGACUACACUGUUUAAUAUAUAACCCCAACCCUUGGUACCGCACUGACCUUCAGUAUUUGGUUGCUGAAAUCUUCAAUGAUGAAAGGGCUGAGAUCCAGACCUUCUUAGAGAGAACACAGCCAGUGGAGAGUCACUCUAUGGCAGGAAAUAUUCUGUAUUGCCUUACAGGCAGAACUUGCUGAAACUCCAACCUCUGGAAAUUACUGGAACCCUGCAUUCUAGAACUUGCUGGAAACCCACCCUCUGGAAUUGGCCUGCUAGAGUGCCUGAGAAGGAUGUUCAUAGGGAAAUGUUUCAGCAGAGGAACUCUACUACAAAAACCACAAGAGGGAGGGUGCCAGGGGAAGUGGCCUGGUGCUAUUGAAACUGCAACACAGAAGCCAGCCACUGGAGAGAGCUGCACAAGCUGCAGGAACACCCUACCCAGUAAGCCGGCCAGAAGGAGGGAGCAAAACCUUUUCUCUCUGCAACAUCUUUCCAGUUUCCUCUACUGGAAAAGCUUCAUUGCCAGCUGACAAAAGGAAAAAUACUUAAAUGGAUCAGAUCCAUUUUCACAGAGCAGUCAAUAAUGGUGAAUUUGGAGAUGAUAAGCAACAAAUUGAUGAACUGGCACAACUUCCCUGCUACUUUCUUGAUUGUAAUGCCUAGAUAGGGAAUAGGAAAGUUAUUGAAAUGUAUGUGUUCCCAUGAAAUGUGUUUAUUUGUUGUUCAAGAUCAAUACUAAUAAAUGGGGACUAAUGUUCUGAAGUA